rnacentral:rRNA from 1 species
AGAAAUUAAAUGUAAAUCAUUAAAUUUAAAAAAUUUGACGGUAUUUUAAAUAGUUAGAGGAAUUUGUUAAUUAAAUGAUAAUCCACGAGUAGGAGGUCCUAAUAAAGCUUUUAUGUAUUGUUGUAUAAAAAUUAUUUUAUAAGAAUAUAUAAUUAGAAUAUUUUAUUUAAUUUGAAUUCAAAUCAAAAUGUAGAGUUAUUAGGUUGUAAAUGAGUUACAUUUUAAUUUAAUAUAAUAAUUAUUUUUUUUAAUAAAAGUAGUUUUUAGGAUUUAAUAGUAAAUUUAAAAAAAUUUUUAAAUUGAAAUAUUAAUUAAAAUAUGUACAAAUUGCCCGUCAUUUUCAUAAAUAAAUAAUUGAAAGAAGUCGUAACAAAGUAAAUGUACAGGAAUGUGUAUUUA